UUUGCUGUUACUACUACUACUACUAUUACUGCUACUACUGAUGAUACUUCCGUUAGGGAAAUUUUAUACAAAUUUUCCUUGUAUAUAUCUAAACAAAAGAUGAGCUACACCUUAGACAGCAUACUGCUAUGAUUUUAACCUCUUAAAGGACUAGUGAGACUGAGGACUUUGUUUCAGACUGUAGCUCUUUCCGCUUGUUUUACAGCACAAAAGCAAAAGGCGUAGGAUGAAGAAUGCGCUAGAAAAACAUCAGUUGUAUUUUUAAUGUCCUGUUUCCAAGGGGGCAUGUCCAUCUCCUACCUCGAUAAUAGACCAUAUAUGUUCCCUGCCUACUGCAAAAUGAGAUUUGAGGUUGUGAAGACACCUUGGUCUCUCAACCGAGAAUCAUCCAUACGAUUAUUAAUUUUGACGGCAAACUGUAAGUGGACUCGUCACUGUAGAAAAGUUUCUAGAUACUCUUUCCUAAUGCUGAUUAUUAUUUACAUAUGGACGUUUGAUGACAACAUAAUUACAGAUAAACAACAUGAAUGUCUAUCCAGGUUGCAGCGUUAGGUAUACACCGAAGUUUCGGAGGACAUACUGCCAAUAUGUUUAGUCCUGAAGAUAUAUGAAAUAUGUUCGUCAGAAACGUUGGUACGAAGCAGCAAGUUCAUACGGUCCUACAACACAUCUUGAUAACAACAAAUAUCUAAAAUCAUAAGUAUGGACAGACUGGCACUUUGCUGCAAUAACAAUUUAACUAACUAACUAACCAAAUGUCACACAGUUCUUCUUGAGAAGGUGAUAGACACUUAGGUUGUAAAGUAUUUUCAUCGUUCUGAAGGUUGAUUGCUGAGGCCACAAGAGUUUCUUUACCAUUAAUAUCUAUAGUCCAUAUACAUCUAAUGACAGGUAAUGAAUUUUGAAAUUUCAGUGAUCAAGAAUAUUUUUGUAGAGACUUUUUUUAUGUUUUAUGUAUUUUCAAGUGAAUGUACUGCAAUUCUGUAUGAGAUUUUUGACAGUGUUUUAGAAUCAUUAGAAAAUUUUGUUUAAACACUGACCAUUGUCAGAAUACCAUUUGUGUACAUGAAACAAUAUGUACAUACAUAUGUGGAAAUAUUGCACAAACCAACUAUCUAAUAAACUAACAAACUAGCUAACCAAUUAACUAACUCCGUGAAACAAUGCCCUUAUGGUCAGCUAGUCAAGAAAUAAACCAUCUGUUAUGGUACCCAAAAUA